UGUCCGUGCCCGGGAUCCGAACUGGUGAAACCCUGGGCCGCUAAAGCGGAACGCGUGAACUUAAACCACUCGGCCACAGGGCUGGCCCCUUAAUUUUGUUUUUUAAUGAUGUAAAUGUUUUACAUGAUUCCGUUUACAUCCUACAUGACCCCACAUCUCCUCUCCUAGGUGUUUCCCCCGCAGAAAGGUGUACACGUGUGCAUCAAAAGAAUAGAAAUUCCACGAGGAAUUGUGUGUUUUGUUCACUGCUGUCUUCCCUGAGCGUAGAAUUGUGCCUCGCACAUAGCAGCUCAGUAAAUAUUUGAUGAAUGAAUGAACGAACUCUAAUACAGCAAACAGACAAAGUACAAGAACAGCCUCCUCAGGGCAGUUUACGUCUUCAGUGUUUGGCCUGGACAUUUAUUUGAGGAACCCCUGAAGUGCUUCUGCCCAGCCAAGAGGGUUCCUCGGAGAAGAGUUUCAAAAUGACUGCUGAAGGCAAAUGGGAGCGGCUGAAAGCUUUUGAAGGAUUUAGCUCUUGGCUCACUGUCACUCUCUCGAACACUACUCCUGUCACAGUCCCUGGUGAGUUUGAUAUCCAUGCAGAUACCUCCAGACCCUUGGCCUCCUCUCCUUCAGUGUCUUGUCCUCCACCACCCUGCAGCCACUCGCUCCCUUGCCCUUCCUUUGACCGUGGCAUUAGCCCAUUCUCUGCUCUCUGUGCAGCUCCCUUCUCCUAGUACCCCAACACUGACUACAUUUCCACCCCACCAGGACCGGCAAUCCACUGAACCUGUACCUUUUCCCUUUUCUCUCCGCCACCCCUCCUUGUCUCCUCUUCCCUCCUUACUCAGCUUAAAUUAUAUCAACCACUCACUUGUACACACCUUGCCCUUUCUUGUACUUGCUGGGAGAAAGCAUAACCCUUGUAAAUCCAGUUCUCCACCUGCUCAACAUAUCUACACCUCUGGCAGCUGAAUGAAGCUGGAGGAAGCCGACCGGCCUCACUUCAGGUUCAUGACCACUGACUUCGAGUGGGCCCUCAGUGCUGCCCCACAACCCUACCUUUCUUUAGUCUAGCCACCCUCCCAUUCUCCGAGAACAGUGCUUCUUAAGCUUGAAUGUGCACACACUUCACCUGGGCAUCCUUUUAGACCACAGACUCUGAUUCUGUAUUUCUGAUAACUUCCCAGGUGAUGUGCAUGCUGCUGGACUGUGGACCCGCACUUUCAGUAGCAAAGGCCUGGACCAGGGGUUGGCAAACUUCUUCUGAUAGUAAAUAUUUUAGUCUUUGCAGGUGACAUAUGGUGUCUGUUGCAACUGCUCAACUCUGCCAUUGCAGCUAGACAAUACAUAAAUGAAUGGGUAUGGCAGGGUUCCAAUAAAAUUGUAGUUAUGGAAGCUGAAAUUUGAAUUUCAUAGAAUUUUCUUGUGUCACAAAAUAUUAUUCUUCUUUUGAUUUUUUCAACCAUUUAAAAAUACAAAAACAAUUCUUAGUUGGCAGGCUGUACACAAAUAGGCAGCGGCCCGGUUUGGUCCACAGUUUGUCAACCCUUGGCCUAGACAACUGUUUCAAACCUCUUCUGUCCUCAGAUCUGCAGCCCUUCCUCCUCCGUUCUCUCAGAUGAUGGCCUUGCUUCCUAGUCACCGAGAAAAUUUAAGCAAUCACAGGAGAUCUUCCAUGACUCACUUACCACGUCCCAGCUCCCAGCACCUGCACUCGAAUCCUCUGCCUUCAUCCUGUUCCUGCGGAUGAAGUAUUUGCGCUGUGGCCAGCCUUUCUGCUUGCUUGUGCCCUCAAUCCUAACCCCUGUCACCUAGUCAAGAACCUUGCUCUGGCAGUUCUGUCCUUUCUGUCCCUGCUUUUCACUGGAUUGUUCCCAACAAUGUACAAAUAAAUAGGUGGGCAUUUCUCCCCUUUUAAAAGCCUGCUCUUUAUCCCAACUCCCUUUCCACUGCUACUCCGUUCCCUCCUUCCUUUUACAACAAAGCUGUGCAAGAUUUGUCGAGAUUUCUGUUUCCAAUUUCUCUCCUCUCAUUCUUUUUUUU